rnacentral:rRNA from 1 species
GACCCGCACAAGUAGCGGAGCAUGUGGUUUAAUUCGAAGCAACGCGAAGAACCUUACCUAAGCUUGACAUCCUUUUGACCGAUGCUUAAUCGCAUCUUUCCCUUCGGGGACAGAAGUGACAGGUGGUGCAUGGUUGUCGUCAGCUCGUGUCGUGAGAUGUUGGGUUAAGUCCCGCAACGAGCGCAACCCUUGCCUUUAGUUGCCAGCAUUAAGUUGGGCACUCUAGAGGGACUGCCAGGGAUAACCUGGAGGAAGGUGGGGAUGACGUCAAAUCAUCAUGCCCCUUAUGCUUAGGGCUACACACGUGCUACAAUGGGUGGUACAGAGGGCAGCCAAGUCGUGAGGCGGAGCUAAUCCCUUAAAGCCAUUCUCAGUUCGGAUUGUAGGCUGAAACUCGCCUACAUGAAGCUGGAGUUACUAGUAAUCGCAGAUCAGAAUGCUGCGGUGAAUGCGUUCCCGGGU